CCUACGGGAGGCAGCAGUGAGGAAUAUUGGUCAAUGGGCGGGAGCCUGAACCAGCCAAGCCGCGUGAGGGAAGAAGGUACAGCGUAUCGUAAACCUCUUUUGUCAGGGAACAAAGGCGGGGACUAGUCCCCGGAUGAGGGUACCUGAAGAAAAAGCAUCGGCUAACUCCGUUCCAGCAGCCGCGGUAAUACGGAGGAUGCGAGCGUUAUCCGGAUUUAUGGGGUUUAAAGGGUGCGCGGGCGGCCUGUUAAGUCAGCGGUAAAAGCCCGGGGCUAAACCCCGGCGAGCCGUUGAAACUGGCGGGCUGGAGUUGGAGAGAAGUACGCGGAAUGCGCGGUGUAGCGGUGAAAUGCUUAGAUAUCGCGCAGAACCCCGAUUGCGAAGGCAGCGUACCGGCUCCACACUGACGCUGAGGCACGAAAGCGUGGGUAUCGAACAGGAUUAGAUACCCGAGUAGUC
rnacentral:rRNA from 1 species